GAUGAACGCUGGCGGCGUGCCUAAUACAUGCAAGUCGAGCGAACAGACGAGGAGCUUGCUCCUCUGACGUUAGCGGCGGACGGGUGAGUAACACGUGGAUAACCUACCUAUAAGACUGGGAUAACUUCGGGAAACCGGAGCUAAUACCGGAUAAUAUAUUGAACCGCAUGGUUCAAUAGUGAAAGACGGUUUUGCUGUCACUUAUAGAUGGAUCCGCGCCGCAUUAGCUAGUUGGUAAGGUAACGGCUUACCAAGGCAACGAUGCGUAGCCGACCUGAGAGCGUGAUCGGCCACACUGGAACUGAGACACGGUCCAGACUCCUACGGGAGGCAGCAGUAGGGAAUCUUCCGCAAUGGGCGAAAGCUUGACGGAGCAACGCCGCGUGAGUGAUGAAGGUCUUCGGAUCGUAAAACUCUGUUAUUAGGGAAGAACAAAUGUGUAAGUAACUAUGCACGUCUUGACGGUACCUAAUCAGAAAGCCCCGGCUAACUACGUG
rnacentral:rRNA from 1 species